rnacentral:ncRNA from 1 species
CGUAGUAACAACGAAUGAUGAGAAGUCAGCAGACGUCAUAGUACUAGCCUUAUGGCUAGGAAGGAC